CCUACGGGUGGCUGCAGUGAGGAAUAUUGGUCAAUGGGCGGGAGCCUGAACCAGCCAUGCCGCGUGAAGGCGAGUGCCCUACGGGCGUUAAACUUCUUUUGUGCGGGAGCAAUAAGGGCCACGCGUGGCCCGAUGAGAGUACCGCACGAAUAAGCAUCGGCUAACUCCGUGCCAGCAGCCGCGGUAAUACGGGGGAUGCGAGCGUUAUCCGGAUUUAUUGGGUUUAAAGGUUGCGUAGGCGGCGCUUCAUGUUUGCGGUGAAAUACCGGGUCGCAACCCCGGGGCUGCCGGUGAAACCGGCGCGCUAGAAUUCCGAUGCGGUAGGAGGAAUGCGUGGGGUAGCGGUGAAAUGCAUAGAUA
rnacentral:rRNA from 1 species